rnacentral:lncRNA from 1 species
UUCGUUCCGAAGAACAAAUCGUUUUAAGUCCAUCAUUCCCAAGCUCGGAUUGAUGAACAUCCACCAUCCAGCUUGAGGGGUAGCUAUUAAAGUUUCUCUUUUUGUAAAUAUUUUAGGCUUUAAGUUUCUGUUUGGUUUUCUGUUAGGAUCAUUUAUGACUUCGCUCUCUUUUCCUUCCUCACCUGAACUCUAUAUAUACAUGGAGUUCUUGUUCCUUCUCUUGUAAAAGGAACAUUAAAAUGAUUUUACAGAAAUAAAAAGUCUUAGCCUUGUUUCUUACCUUCCCUGAAGCAUCCUCUCUGAUCUGCUUCUCUUUCCCUUUUCUGGCACCCAUGAACACCCACUGCAAGCGUGCUUCGUGACAUUUUUCUCCAAGCUUCCACAUGACUCUUCU